rnacentral:rRNA from 1 species
UACGGAGGUGGCAAGCGUUGUUCGGAAUUACUGGGCGUAAAGGGCGCGUAGGCGGCAAGGCAAGUCAGGUGUGAAAGCCCCGAGCUUAACUCGGGAAUUGCAUCUGAAACUGCUGUGCUUGAGUUCUGGGAGGGGGUAGUGGAAUUCCCAGUGAUAGCGGUGAAAUUCGUAGAUAUCGGGAGGAACACCAGUGGCGAAGGCGGCGAUCUGGGAAGAUACGUGACGCGUGAGGUGGCGAAAGCGUGGGGAGCAAACAGG